AGGGGUUCUGCAACUGCCCUUUGCCCUUCGCUGCUCUCAGUUUAGGCUCCCCCUGGGACCCAGACUAUACAGUUGCUGGUGACCACAAGCCUCCCAAUGGGCCAGAGCCCAAGCAUGCCUGGACACAGGCUGAGAAGGCAAAUGAAGGCUUUGCUAAGUGGCUCAAUCCAAGCAAGAGGCAGAGGGCAGAAGUGGACCCCAGCCUUCUGGGAUUUUUGAGAAGGUUAGGCUGACUCCAUGACAGGCUUCAAAUUGGCAGUUAAGGAGACCAGGCCCAAAUCGCUGUUUCCAAGAACUGGGCGAUUCCAGGCCAAGUCCAGGCCUCAGAAACUGCCCCACCACCUG
rnacentral:lncRNA from 1 species